CCACUCUUAGCUCAGUUGGUAGAGCGUGCGGCUGUAAUUUCCCUAAACCGCAAGGUCGCUGGCUCGAAUCCGGCAGAGUGGA
rnacentral:tRNA from 2 species